CCGCUUAUAAUCCCAGCUACUUGGGAGGCUGAAGUGGGAGAAUCGCUUGAACCCGGGAGGCAGAGUUUGCAGUGAGCUGAGAUUGCACCACUGCACUCCAGCCUGGGUGACAGUGCGAGACUCAGUCUCCAAACAAAAACAAAAAAAAAAGAUCACUAUGAAGAACCAGAUGGAAGAAGCAAGUAUCGUGAUUGGAGAUGAUAGCACUAUUUGCCCAGGAAACUAAAAACAAAACACCUGGAAAAGUAUUAAACCUGAUAAUGGAGUCAAGGUCCUGCUUAUGGAGUAAACAUAUGCUGUGUACACAAUAACAUAAACUAUAUAGUAUUGAAUUUAAAUCACAUUUCUUACAAAUAUAUAUAAAUUUCUGAGGAAUAGAACUAAUUCCAUGUGCAGCAUCUAUCUGCUGACAAGUGUGAGAGUUUCCUGAUGAAAUGACCUGCUCGUCACUUCCAUGGAUAUAGGUCUACAACUUUGUUGGCUUGAAGGCUCCUCAUCCUCACACGACU
rnacentral:lncRNA from 1 species